UCCCAUUUAGUCUAGGUGGUUCAGGAUACCCCGCUUUCACCGGGGAGACACGGGUUCGAGUCCCGUAGUGGGAA
rnacentral:tRNA from 2 species